rnacentral:rRNA from 3 species
CUUCCGUAGGGUGAAC